UACGGAGGGUGCAAGCGUUGUCCGGAAUCACUGGGCGUAAAGGGCGCGUAGGCGGCCUGGUAAGUAGGGGGUGAAAUCCUGCGGCUUAACCGCAGGGCUGCCUUCUAAACUGUCAGGCUUGAGCACGGUAGAGGCAGAUGGAAUUCCCGGUGUAGCGGUGGAAUGCGUAGAGAUCGGGAAGAACACCGGUGGCGAAGGCGGUGAGCGUGGGCAGUUGCUGACACUGAGGCGCGACAGCGUGGGGAGCAAACAGG
rnacentral:rRNA from 1 species